CCUACGGGGGGCAGCAGUGGGGAAUCUUCCGCAAUGGGCGAAAGCCUGACGGAGCAACGCCGCGUGAUCGAAUGAAGGCCUUCGGGUUGUAAAGAUCUGUUGACAGGGACGAAUAAGGCAUGCGAAUAGUUUGGUGUAUGACGGUACCUUUUUAGAAAGCUACGGCUAACUGCGUGCCAGCAGCCGCGGUAAUACGUAGGGAGCAAGUGUUGUACGGAAUUACUGGGCGUAAAGGGCGCGUAGGUGGGUGCUUAAGUAAGGUGUGAAAACUCUGGGCUCAACCUGGAGACUGCACUUGAAACUGGGUAUCUUGAGGGAAGGAGAGGAAAGUGGAAUUCCUAGUGUAGCGGUGAAAUGCGUAGAUAUUAGGAGGAACACCAGUGGCGAAGGCGACUUUCUGGACUGUACCUGACGCUGAGGCGCGAAAGCGUGGGUAGCGAACGGGAUUAGAUACCCUAGUAGUC
rnacentral:rRNA from 1 species